rnacentral:rRNA from 1 species
GACGGAGGAUGCAAGUGUUAUCCGGAAUUAUUGGGCGUAAAGAGCUCGUAGGCGGUCUGUCGCGUCUGCUGUGAAAAUCCAGGGCUCAACCCUGGACCUGCAGUGGGUACGGGCAGACUAGAGUGCGGUAGGGGAGAUCGGAAUUCCUGGUGUAGCGGUGAAAUGCGCAGAUAUCAGGAGGAACACCGGUGGCGAAGGCGGAUCUCUGGGCCGUAACUGACGCUGAGGAGCGAAAGCAUGGGGAGCGAACAGG